UGUACGUAAGCCCACUCGUUUGGAACUGUGAACUUUUAUGAGGAAACGUUGCAUUCUACAGAGCGUUGCGAAGAGGGCCUUGCACCUGCUAAUGCUUUUGCGAUGCGGAUCAGAGCGGGGAUCAUACAGAGAUUUUAGGCAAGUUUACCCAUAUUAUGCAUAUUAUUUACUCACUGUGUGUGUGUGUGUGUGUGUGUGUGUGUGUGUGUGUGUGUGUUGCAUAAUGACAGAAUGCAGACUUUUCACGAUUCAAUAGCUUUUAUUUGCGAUUUGAGUUGCACAAGCAGCAAGUGUUUUCAGUGACUCACUGAUUUCAGUGAGCACAUUAGUGAGGUUGCUUAGCUGCCCCUUGAUGUCACUAACUGCCUGGGCAAUGUGCUUUUGGUUCUGUAGGACCUCAUCAGUUAAUACCCUUGGUGCCCGAGCCUCACGCACAGAGGACGACCUUGCCUCCUCCUGCACCAUCGCGGCAGGAGCAGACGUGUCUGUAUAAUUGAAAGAGCAGAUGCAUUAAUAAGCUACUUCUGUUUAAACCAAAAAUUUCUGUUUGAAACAAAGGUUUUUUUAAUCGAUUCAGUAAAAAAUGUUUAGAUUUAAAUUAUGCAUUAAAUGUGUGACCACUUACCUUCACCUUGGACGUUUGGUUCUGUUUCUGGGGGUUCUGGGGGUUCCACCACGAGGUCACUGUCAGUCACACCACUCACCACUCUGGAAAACGCAGCGUCCCCAAUAUGCCAGCAACCCGUUCAUCCAAGGCAGACAAUUUUUCAAGGUUUUGCCCUCCCCCUGUCACCAUUGUAGCGUGCCUGUAAGCGGCCACGCGCUUUUUUGCAUUUAAUUUAAUAUCAAACCACUUUUUUUUUAUUUCUGCCACAGUCCGUGGCUCAGAUCCGACGGCAUUUACAGAGUGCGCCACCUUCUCCCACACAGUAUUCUUUUUUUACUAGUAACGCCGGCUUCUAAACCGCAAAACAAUAUCUUCUGAUUGGCCUCAACCUCUGCGACUAAAACGUCGAUCUCCGUCUCAGAGAAAUUCCUCUUUUUUGCGCGCUUCUCCAUUAUUCCACCAAGGACUCAAUUACUCAUUUGCAUGGCUUUUAAAGGGGAUGUUAAUGCCAUAUAUGGUUAAUUGGGGGCGUUUCACAAUGCAAAUUAGAGUCAUCGUGCCCACACAAGGUGAUUUGGCAGGUGUGGGAUUUAUCAUUGCAGAUUACUUACAGGUGUGCGUAAAACCAGCCUAGGAACGUUUGAUAAAUGCCGAUAUUUUUGUACUUACGAACAUUCUAAAUUCCACUCGUACGACAGAAUUUAGGAUGUUUUCUACGCACUGUUGAUAAAUGAGCCCCCUGGACUGGAGAUGGACACAGCAUUUAAUUCCGAGGGAAACAAUUAGACCAAGCCAAAAUCUCAACCUAACAGCAAAUGUCUUUUCUUUCUUCUUUACCCUUGGCAACCUCUGAGGCAUGUGAAAAGAGUUAAUUUGAGAAAUUACAAAACAGCAGGACCCAGGACCCCCACAGGUGGAGCAGGCCGAAUCUCCCCUUUACCAAUUUAAAAUAAUUGUAGUCAACAAAUACACUCUGUAGAGUAGAGGGAUAAUGAAAUCUUGCACUAUGCCUUCUGUAAGGGUUUUGCUCAGCUUACAGUGAGAUCUGAAAUACAAGAAUACACAAAAUGAAUAUGCCAUACAAAAAAAAAAAUCAGUCUUGUUCUAAUGACAUUGUGGCGAUCAUCAGCACAUAAAAGGCUCUGUGACACAUUAACAUUCUACUAAUGGAAGAUUUUGUUUCAGUCACAUCAUAUACCAGUAAAUGAUCACCACUGACUGUACAAGUGUAAACCUGUACAUGUUCAACAGCUGGAAACAAAUAAAUUUUACAAAGGCAUUCUGUCUAAUGUCUAAACAACAAAUCGCACUACAGGUAACUGGUGGAUGUGACACUCACCUGUGGGGAGGAAAACAGUCUUGUCCUCAACAAUGACAAGACCAAGGAGCUAAUCAUGGAUUUCAGGAAGAAAGCUCUCCCUCCACAACCUCUGUAGAUAAAAGGCACCAAGGUCAAUGGCUUCAGGUUUCUUGGCUUGCACAUCAACAACCUGAGCUGGUCAGGAAACAUCCAGUCAUUGUCAACAAGGCACAGCAGCAGCUCUGUUCCAUCAGGUCACCAGAAGAAAGCUGGCCUGAAUCAUCAGCCUCUUACCGAGACCUACAGAGGUCUUGUGGAGAGCGACCUCAUCAGAGGUAUCACUGUGUGGUAUGGAAACACCACACUUGGAGAGAGGAAGGCCUUCCAAAGGACUAUUAAAUCAGCAGAGAGGAUCAUAGAAACACAGCUCCCCUCCAUGGACACUCUAUUAACACACCGCUGCAGGCAAAAACUGCAGGCUAUUCUCAAAGACACACAUCACCCUAGACACUCUCCAUUUAGGUGAAAGAAGCUCCAGACACCAACUAAGAUACCACUGACCAGAGAAUAUCAAAACAAACAGGAAGCACUUUUCUUCUCCCCAGCAGCUAUCAGACUGCUCAAAAAGGGCAUUCAGGUUAGAGUGAAAUAUCCUUUACCUGAUCAAAACUCUUUGAACAUUGCAACAAUAAGACUGACAGCGCCUCAUCCUCAUGCACAUAAUCACUUUAUAAUUUAUUAUAAUUCAUCAUCUAUGAUUAUUAUUAUUGAAGUGUAGUUUUUGUAUUCACUUUUGUAUUACUUUCUUACUCUUGUAUUACAUCUUUUGAUUGCUUUUAUUAUUGUUGAGGUUAUUGUUUUUAUCUUUAUUUUUUAUUAAUUGACUGAGAGAUCUGCACAAGAAUUCCAAUGCUCUUGUGCACCUGUACCUGGGCAAAUGGCAAAUAAAAGUCUUGAAUCUUGAA